GGGUUGGCGUUGGUACAUCCUAAAUAUGGUGACUGAUAAGCCGCCGGGGUACAAGGCCAGAUGAGGCGUGAAGGUGGGUGGAGAGACAGCGAAAGUCCUGGGGCUGUCAGGGGUCACGCAAGAUCCGGACAAGGUGGAAGGAAGAGCAGAGGCUCAGCAUCCAGCAACCUAGGAGAGAAGGGCUGGAGAGGCCGCUGGGGACUUGACCUUGGCAUGUGACCCCCUGGGGCUCAGGGCCACGGCACUCCUGGGCGACGGGAAGUGGGGUUGAGCAGCGGGUCGUAUCUGGUCACUUCUGUUCUCUCGGAAUCAGCAGCAGGGUCUCCAGUGAGGGGGGAGGGUUUGUACAGAGAGAAGGUGUGAAACAAUCUCUCAGUAGAACAGAUUUGCCAGGAGAUGUUUGCUGUGGAAGAAACGAGUGACCCAUUCUCUGUAGAAGGGAAGAGAGGCAGGGAGGCUCUGAGCUCACACAGGGCUUGUGGGUGGGUUACAGGCCCACUACCCCAGGGUUGGAGGGCAGCGCGGACCCAGGACAUUUGGCCCUGGGAGCCUUUACCUGCAUGUGGGCCAGGAGGCAAGGGCCUGAGUGUUGCCCACCCCCCGCCCCCACGCCACCUCCUCGUCCCCGAACUGGCGUGCACAAAGUAUCUGCUGAUCUACCGUGUGCCAUGACUAGUGCAAUGAUGGUGCAAUGGUGACUGUCUAGUCUCGGAACAAAGCUGUCAGCAUUAGUGACAACGCCACUGAAAUCAGCAGCCAGGCUGUUCUGACCCACCAGUGCCGCGCGCAGGUGGAGUGGGGCUGCAUCGGUCACGGACGAGGAGGCUGGGCAGCUCCGCCAGGAACUCCCAAGUUAAGAGAACUUAAAAAUAGCUCUAUGCACCGUCCUGCCAGCUGACACCCCAGAUAUUUAAGGCUCACUCUGAAAUGAUGUCACUUUUCCAUUCUUGCGCUCCCAAAUUCCCUGACUUCUCUGGCCCUGCUUCUCCGAGCGCCUUUCUCAGAGGAAUGAAGGCCUUCUCCAGGUGAUGUCUGCCUGCGCUACACAGGGCCCGAAGACCUCGGGGGCCACGGCAGGGGCAGUGCCGGCAGCUGCCGGUCUGCGUGCUGGCUCUCCCCACUUCUGAGCGGGCGUGCUUUCUGCCAAAGCACCACGACGGGAGGGGACAGCUGCAGUGCUCCCUGCCCCCUCCCCCGGAGCUAUAAAAAGCCCCAACACCCAAGUGAGCAGAGGACACGCCGAGCAGACGUGCAGAACUUUGCUGGACACGAGGAGCUCGGCUCAACGGCCAUGCUGAGGUUAGCCUCCGCCAGCAGGCUGCUGCCAGCCCCCCGGAGCGGCUGGGUGCUUCCCAAGGCACACGUCUCCGCCAAGCCAGCCAGAACACCCACUUCUCCCAUGGAGCAAGCCAUUGGGCUCUCGGUGAUGUUCCUCAGCUUCCUGAUUCCUGCAGGCUGGGUCUUACACCACCUGGAGAGCUACAAGAGAAGCUCGGCAGCAUGAAGGCUCUGUGGUUCCAGCUCCAGGCACAGGAUGAAAGAUCGCAUUAAACCCUUCCCUUCA